GCCCACGUGGCGGAAUUGGCAGACGCGCUAGCUUCAGGAGCUAGUGUCCAAAAGACGUACAGGUUCAAGUCCUGUCGUGGGCA
rnacentral:tRNA from 1 species